ensembl:ncRNA F40G9.22 ncRNA
GGAACCCUGGAAACCUGGACCCUGAAACCCUGGAACCCUGGAAACCUGGACCCUGAAACCCUGGAACCCUGGAACCCUGGAACCCUGGAACCCUGGAACCCUGAAACCCUGAAUCCCUGGAACCCUGGCACCCUGGAAACCUGGAACCCUGGAACCCUGAAACUCUGAAUCCCUGGAACCCUGGAACCCUGAAAACCUGGCACCCUGAAUCCCUGGAAACCUGGAACCCUGAAUCCCUGGAACUCUGGCACCCUGGAAACCUGGAACCCUGGAAACCU